UUCCUCCUCUCUCUCCUAAUCGCUCCAGCCUCCAGAAAAUGGGCCCUGUGUUCGUUCCCAGGGCACCAUGGUGGAAGCCAUAAAGCUGAAGUCGGAGACACUGGAUGUUCCUGGCUCCAGCCUUCCCAACCAUCCUCUGCCAUCUAUAAAAUCCACCACUCUCCAUUCGUAGACAGCUCCGAUCGCCUGGCUCGGAUCCUAGCCGUUGCCGGGCCUCGGUGUGUGCGAAGUCAGGGCACUUCACAACUGUGCCCUGUUUAAACAGGAAAAGCAUGCACCAUUUUGUCCAGGAGGGAGGAGGAGGCAGCCUGAAGCCUCCCUCUUUGGUGCGGCCUCCAGGGGUGCAGACCAACAAAGAAGACAUUAAAACCUGCCACCAAAGAGGGAAGGAAACGGCUCCCCUUGGUCUUCCCAGUCGUUCGGCUCCAAGGUGGUGGUUAGUGGUCCCAGACAAGAGUUCACAGAGACGGUGUGCAUCCUGGGUGCAGGAUGAUGCUACGCAGUGCCGAAGGCGACUCGGGAAACGUCUUGCUCACGAGACAGGGAACGCGGUGGGAUGGUGUGUAACUGUAGCGCUGCACAUCUGAGCCAGCACCACAUUGUGCCGUGCGGACAGAAGGACACGGCGAGGUGGGGGCCACAGCGGGAGAGGAUAGGGCUAAUCGGAGGGACAGUGGCGGACCUCGGGCUCCCGGCUCUGGCGGUCCCUUGCCUCUUCCGAAGGCUUCGGGUUAGUCAAGGCCUUCUCUAGGGAGGAGAAGGAUGGAUUUGAGCCCCUCGGUCAGUAAUUCCCGCUGCCAGAGCGAAUCAAGAAACAGGUCUUGGGGCCCGGAGAGACGGUUGGUUCAGUGGUUAGUAACACUUGCUGCUCUUCCAGAAGACUGGAGUUUGGCUGGCAACCACCUCUAACUCCGCUUCCAAGGGAUCUGGCUCCCUCUUCUGGCCUCCGCCAGCACUUGCCUGCUUGUGGCCAUCACUCACAUGGACACAUACACUUGAGUAAAAGUAGCGUCUUGCUAUGACGUCCAAGCUAGCCUAGACAUCCUCCUGCCUCAGGCCCUGGAAUAGCUGAAACUUCAGACACGGACCACCACCAUGCAGCUCCUACGGAUUUAUGAGCCAUUUAAAGACUAAGGCCUCAUGAUGGGUGUACCUGGCUGGGAUGCUGUCACUGGCUCCCAUCAAAGUUCCUGUCCGACCUGGAGACACGGCUCAGUGGUAGGAUGGGCCGAGCGUACUUGGAGCCCUGGGCUCCAUCAGAGUCAAUUCCCUGUCAGAGAAGACACUAUGGAUGCUCCGGUAUAGAAACUCCACGGCCUCACUUCACCAGACAGAGGGAAAGGGUGCCCACGAAAAACUCCUCCCCCCAACACUGACUCCUCCAAGGUGAAUGACUAUGAUGGUUUCUUUUAAAAUGAAUGCUCAGUUAUAGUCUGAUUCAGGUAUUUCAGAAACUGCAUGGAUAGUUCAGACGGGGUAGAAAUUAUUUUUAAAUAAUUUUGAGAAUCCUGAGGUUAAACCAAGGUCUUCAAACAGAGUUCAGUUUUUCCGUUUUUUGU